CUGUUGUGGCUUGUGUCUAGAUGUCUCCCCACAGGCUCUUGCAGGGUUUUUCCAAGGUAGCUGAAUUUUAAAUGUGUGAUGCUAGGACUAAGGGUGUGUGAUUACUACACCACUACACGUGAUUGAUUUGGCGUCACCCUAAUCCCGGUUAUCUGAAUAAGAUAAAAGGAGCAGAAAGUCACUGUGAAGGUCCCUCCUUACCUUUGCUACCUUGUGCACACCGUGUUGUUUCUCCUCUGCUUGUUUUUCCUGUUUGCCAUGCCUGUCUUGGAGCCAGCUGAUUACGAACGGAAACCCCUACAAACUGCUGGCCUUGAACUCAAAAUGUAGACCAGCCUAGCCUUGAAGUCACAGAGAUCUCCUGAGUACUGGGCUUUCGGACAUCAUGACCAACCUUGGCUUAAAUCAAGAGUUACUUUGCAAAUUGUGCUUCUGGGUGUUUUUAAAACAGAUAGUGUGUUUUUUGACCAGCCUCAUUUCAGUUUCCUACAUGGCCAGCUGCUCAAGUGUACUGCCGUCAUCCAUCAACUCCACAUGUCCAAACUAACAAACCUGAAUUGCUCUCGGCAUUGCUUCCAAACUGGUAGCUGGCGGACAUCCAGCUGCUCUUUGUUGGGAUCAAACUCGGGACCUUUCACUUAUGAGGCAAGCUUCAGAACCACUGAGCUAAAUCCCCGGCAAGAAUUACAAUUUUAUAAUGUAAUAUACAACUAUAUAAUAGCAUAUGCAACUUAAUUAUAAUUAUGGAAUAUUUACUUAUUCUUUGUUUUCUAUUAUGUUUUGAUUUGGCUACUUAAACCAUUUAUAUUUAAUACAAUAUUUCAUUUUUAAAAUUAAAAGCAUCUUUAUGUUAGUGUUUGUGCACUUAUUAUUUUAUCUGUUCUAUUUUUUCUUCUUUUUCUAUUUCUUUUGGAUGUAGGAAGUACUUUAAGAUUCUAAUUUUUUUGUAUUGUCUCAUUAUAUAUAGUCUUAGGUUUAUAAAUUAAUUUUUAAAUUAUCAGUCUAUCUUCAAAUCUUCAUCCCUUUUUGUAGUAUGCUGAACAUUAUAAUAUAAUUCAUCUUUUUUAUCUUUGUUUUAUUAUUUCUAUACACUUAAUAUACAUACAUGUUUUAAACUAUAACUUGCUAUACUACUUUGAACAGUUAAUGGUAUAAUAAUGAAUAAAAGAGUAAAAUUAGCUUUUAGAUACAUCCAGAUACUGUACAUGAUUUUUUUCUAUAGUUCAUGACUGAGUGUGAAUCAAAAUUUCCACCUGGGUUAAUUUUUCUAUUGCCUGAAGGAUUUUUAUAAACAUUUCUUACAAUACAGGCAUAAUUUUAAUGGAAAAUAUAUGUUGUUUUCCUGGAAAAAUAACGUGUCCAUGUUUUUAAAAUAUUGUUUGAGAGAGAAGCAGUUUUGUUUUUCCAGUAAUAUAUAAAAGCUUCUUCAUUUUCUGCAGUCUCCAAGUUUCAACAAUAAAUCUCCUGUCAUUGUUUUUCUUUUGUAUGAAAUGUGUCUUUUACCCCUCUGGCUGCAUUUUAAAAUUUCUAUUUAUUGUUAUUUCAAGUAAUUGUAAUAUGAAGAUUUAUAUACUUCAACAUAUUAAAAAAUGAACAGUCAUCAUUUCUUCAAAGCAUUUCCCUCAUUCUUUCUUUUAUCUCUUUGGGAAUCAAAUUGCAUGGAUUUUACAACAUUGUAAUUUUUCUACAUGUCACUGAAGUUUUUUUUCACUUCCUUUAGUCCUUUUUACCUUUUUUUUUCUUUAAUUUGGAAUAUUUUUAUUGUUAUGUGCUCAAAUUUAUUAUCUUCUCUACUGAAUGACAUGAUGUGUAGUUAAUGUCAUUUGGUUGAUUUUAAAUUGACACUAUUCUUACUGUUAAUUUUUAUCUCUAAAAAUAUAAUUAAAUCUUUAAUGU